GUCACUUGGUGAUUCAUGACUGGGGUGAAGUCGUAACAAGGUAACCGUAGGGGAACCUGCGGUUGGAUCACCUCCUUA
rnacentral:rRNA from 1 species